CAGCAGCCGCGGGAAUACAGAGGGUGCGAGCGUUAAUCGGAUUUACUGGGCGUAAAGCGUGCGUAGGCGGCUUUUUAAGUCGGAUGCGAAAUCCCUGAGCUUAACUUAGGAAUUGCAUUCGAUACUGGGAAGCUAGAGUAUGGGAGAGGAUGGUAGAAUUCCAGGUGUAGCGGUGAAAUGCGUAGAGAUCUGGAGGAAUACCGAUGGCGAAGGCAGCCAUCUGGCCUAAUACUGACGCUGAGGUACGAAAGCAUGGGGAGCAAACAGGAUUAGAUACCCCCGUAGUCCCUGUCUCUUAUAC
rnacentral:rRNA from 1 species